rnacentral:lncRNA from 1 species
CAACAUUUAUUUUCUAUAUGCCUUAAGCAAUCCUGUAUGCAAUUUAUAAAAUAUCACUUACCUUUUUCUCUUUUUUAGUGGCUUUUUAUCUGAGAUCUACAACUUAUGAAGAAUACAAAUGACGUAUAUUCUUUUCUUCUCUUUGUGUAUGGAAUAGAGGGGCUUGCACAGUAGUAAGAAAAAAAUGGCUGAGACCCACAGGAAUAAAGAAACAAGACAGGAGUUAGGUGCAGAGAAGAGAUUUCAACAAAAGUUUGGAAAAGAUGCUAACGGUAGCAUAUGAGUCACAGACAGAAUAUUGGCACCUUUGUUUAAGGAACUGAAUGUUAAUGUCACAGCUGCCUUCGGAGAUUACAAAUGAAAUGGUUACCUUUCUACUGGAACCCUGACCAGAAGCCUGCCAAUUAGUAAGCUGGCUUAAGAGAUCAAUCUAAAAUUUACAUAAGGCUUUUGAAAGAAAGAGAAAAGUAAGGCUUUAAAAAAACCAAAAGGAAACUGGUGGAAUUAGAGGUAAUUCAGGGGGAAAAAAAAAACUGUAAAAAACUGUGUCUUCUCAUCAAUGAAAGAAAAUAUUUGUAAUCUUUAAGAAUAUGAUGCAUUGAAAAAAUAUAGAAAAAUUAUUUUUGGAAGGUAAAUAAAAUCAAAAAGAACAAUAAACAAAAUUAAAACAAAUCUGCACAGCAUUAAAAGAAAUAAAACAAGUAGUCAAAGAAGGCAUAAAACUACAGUCUCUAUGAAAGAUAAAAACAAGAAACACAAAGAAUCAAGUUAGGGGCAAACCAUUCAACUCACACAUAUUCCAGGAGGACAAAUUAAACA